CAUGAACUUCACGACAAGUUCCUCCAGCAUGGUCUGAACUCAGGGAUUGGACAAAGAAGACAUGCUAUUUAAGCUAUACAGUUCUGUAAGUGCUCAAAGCAUGGAAAGAAUAGAAGAGCUUCUCCAGGAGGACCAGAAUGUCAAGCGGAGGAAAGAGCGUAUCCAGAAACAGUCCUCUAUUCUUUCCAAGCUUACUACACAACUCUGUAUUAAUGAUAAUCUGGCAGCCGCUGCAUCCACCUAUUCCAAUGAAGAAAGUUCAACCAUUGCUGGCCCAUCUUCCCGGGAGCUCUGGAGAUGCUACGUUUGAUGCUGCUGCCAGCGGUCCAAACCUAUCAUAUGGGGAUUCUAGAUCAAAUUGUCUCAGUCGCCGGAACAGUGAUCCUUUUCAUAAUGGUGAUAUAAACCCUGGUGCCGACGAACACCCUAGCA